CUAACAGUCAGUCGUCUUGGGAGGAAGCCAUCGGUUAUGACAGCAAGACACACACACUGCCAUUGUGUGUGUCUUGCUGUCGUAAGCGCCCUCCCUUUGUACUGUCUAUGGAAAAUUUGAAAUCAUUGUGAGAGGCACAGCUACAAGGACUGAAACAACCGUUCACAUCAGGUCCAGACAUCGAAGCUGAUGAGGGAAGCUGUGGCCCUUAUGGCCGAACUUAUUGGAUGUGAUCUCUCCCACAGGGCUCCAGCUGUUAUUACAGACUUACAAUGGAUAUUUCACAGUCUAAUCAAGGCCACAGUCUAAUAGACUGGACGUGUUACAAGAGUUUAAUGAAUAGAAGCUAACUUUUGCAGACCUCCAGAAUGGCUUUGACCACCAGUCACCUCUCCUUGAAGAUGACAACCCUGAGCUGCACGCCAUCAUUCAGAAAGAACGGGGUUGGGUUGGCAGUGGUCUCCCCCCACCCCUGCUCGUCCCCUCCCCUCCCCUCCUGCAUCUCCCCGGGCCGACUACAAGGUUGAAACUGGAUAAACUCAGAUGCAACAGAAUGGUUUUGACCACCAGUGACCUCUCUUUGAAGAUUACAACCCCGAGCUGCACGCCAUCAUUCAGAAGGAACGGGAUGUGUGAAGAAGAAGAAGAAGAAGAAGAAGAAGAAGAAGGCCCAGGAGACCUCCCUGAAGGAAAGUCCCUCACUGCAUUGAGACUCAAGCGAGAGAGGUUGUCUUCCAAUGCCGCGACGAGGGUUCCCUGCGAGCCCCCGUGCACUGGGUGAGGGACGGAGGACGUGCACUGCCCCCGGUAUCGACAGAUGUCCAAGGUUGCCUAACCAUCCCAGAUGUCCAGG